AAUUAAUGUUUUUUUGACUUUUCUAGGCAAUGGGAAUCAAGAGGAUUUCCAUCUAUGUGAUGCAUAUCACAAAACCACCUUAUAGAUCAUUGUACUGAUCUCAGAAGGAGGAGAACUGGACCAUUAGCCCUUGGGGUCAUUUUGGAAGAGAAGAAUAUAACUUUAGAUCUUGAACUUGUGGAUCCUCCUCCAAUUUCUUCACUUCAAAGAAGCGAUAUUUCUGACAGACAAGAUGCCUAGUGAUUAUGUACUGAAGGAUCAAAAGCCACACUGGUGUUCCUAACCAAAUGGUUUCACUUUUGGAGCAUAAGGAAUUCAUGCAGGUGAGAGAUCAGAGCAGGUUAAUUUGAACACAGCAUGCUUCUCUCCAGCAGUCCUGCUUGCAGUGUUUCUUCUCAAAAAAUAAU
ensembl:lncRNA